rnacentral:rRNA from 1 species
UACGUAGGGGGCAAGCGUUGUCCGGAAUCAUUGGGCGUAAAGAGCGCGCAGGCGGUCGUUCAAGUCGCGUGUGAAAGCCCCCGGCUCAACUGGGGAGGGUCACGCGAUACUGAUCGACUCGAAGGCAGGAGAGGGUAGUGGAAUUCCCGGUGUAGUGGUGAAAUGCGUAGAUAUCGGGAGGAACACCAGUGGCGAAGGCGACUACCUGGCCUGUUCUUGACGCUGAGGCGCGAAAGCUAGGGGAGCAAACGGG